rnacentral:rRNA from 1 species
AACGAACGCUGGCGGCAGGCCUAACACAUGCAAGUCGAACGAGAUCUUCGGAUCUAGUGGCGGACGGGUGAGUAACGCGUGGGAACGUGCCCUUCUCUACGGAAUAGUCCUGGGAAACUGGGUUUAAUACCGUAUACGCCCUUCGGGGAAGAAUUUCGGGGAAGGAUCGGCCCGCGUUGGAUUAGGUAGUUGGUGGGGUAAUGGCCUACCAAGCCGACGAUCCAUAGCUGGUUUGAGAGGAUGAUCAGCCACACUGGGACUGAGACACGGCCCAGACUCCUACGGGAGGCAGCAGUGGGGAAUAUUGGACAAUGGACGAAAGUCUGAUCCAGCUAAACCACAUGGGUGAUCCCAAAGGAAGCUUCGGUGCCGUAAAGCCCUUUUCUAUGUGAAGGAAUGACGGUAGCAUAGGAAUAAGU